rfam:Erythrobacter sp. RIFCSPHIGHO2_12_FTLL_63_10 rifcsphigho2_12_scaffold_6054, whole genome shotgun sequence.
UGCCCCGUCGUCUAACGGCAAGACUACGGACUCUGACUCCGUCAAUCGAGGUUCGAAUCCUCGCGGGGCAU